GAGCUGUCAAAUGCUGUCAGAAUGAGAAACCACCAGUUUCAGUGGUAAAGCAAGAGACCAAUUUGAGAACAAAUAGCUUGGAAAACUAAUGUGAAACCACUGCAUUAGCAAAAAACAGUUGCAACCCUUGCUGACAAGCUGUGUUCCAGUGUAUUUUUGGUCAGUGG